rnacentral:rRNA from 1 species
AAUAGAUACCCUGGUAGUCCACGCCGUAAACGAUGAGUGCUAGGUGUUAGGGGGGUCCAACCCCUUAGUGCUGAAGUUAACACAUUAAGCACUCCGCCUGGGGAGUACGACCGCAAGGUUGAAACUCAAAGGAAUUGACGGGGGCCCGCACAAGCAGUGGAGCAUGUGGUUUAAUUCGAAGCAACGCGAAGAACCUUACCAGGUCUUGACAUCCUCUGACAACCCUAGAGAUAGGGCGUUCCCCUUCGGGGGACAGAGUGACAGGUGGUGCAUGGUUGUCGUCAGCUCGUGUCGUGAGAUGUUGGGUUAAGUCCCGCAACGAGCGCAACCCUUGAUGUUAGUUGCCAGCAUUCAGUUGGGCACUCUAACGUGACUGCCGGUGACAAACCGGAGGAAGGUGGGGAUGACGUCAAAUCAUCAUGCCCCUUAUGACCUGGGCUACACACGUGCUACAAUGGGCGGUACAAAGGGCAGCGAAACCGCGAGGUGGAGCCAAUCCCAUAAAGCCGCUCUCAGUUCGGAUUGCAGGCUGCAACUCG